CAUGAAGUCGGAAUUGCUAGUAAUCGUAGGUCAGCAUACUACGGUGAAUACGUUCCCGGGCCUUGUACACACCGCCCGUCAAACCAUGAGAGUUGGCAACACCCGAAGUCGGUAGUCUAACCGCAAGGAGGACGCCGCCGAAGGUGGGGUUGAUGAUUAGGGUGAAGUCGUAACAAGGUACC
rnacentral:rRNA from 1 species